CAAACAAACCAUAAAUCAAGAAAACUGAGUAAGUAUAUUUGUUUUAGAACAAAGUAAGUAUGUUAUAUCCUGCCAUACAAGCCCAAGAUUAUGAGGAACAAGCUCUGAAUAAUCUCAUAAAUCAAGAUGUUGCCAUACGACAUACUAUUGCAUGGAAUGUUGCUUAUUUAUUACCAUCCUACACUCACGCUGCCAUGCAUGACAAUGUAUCGCAUAUUGUCACUCCGAGCCAGAGAAUUCGAGGUCGGAUCCUUUCUCAUGAGAACUUGCUGGGACCUAUGGAGGGCAUCGCGUCGGCGUGCUUCAUGGAUCGGGUGGAUCAGAGUCGAUGGCGAUUGGGACACUCUUGCCAGCACGUGUUUUGAUCAGGCCAGCACGGCAAACCUGGUAAAGUGAAGCAGCAGUAACAGCUCUUGUAACCAGGGCACUGAGCCUUCAAACACAAUUUGAUGUUUAUGUCGCUACUUCCCAACAUCGUCUUCUCUCCGUCCGGCGGCGGCCGCCGGAGACCGCUAGCCGGUUUCGUCUCCACGUCAUGGCCGCCUGCAAUCGCUGCACUUCACUGCAUCAAUUCUUUUCUUCUAAAUUGAAUAUGAAUAACAAAUCGUGUGAUGGGGUUCACGUACCACAGUUUGCAGCGAAAACGAGACAUGUCAUCAUCAGAACGGCGAGGAGAACCGGCGUCAGCCUCAUCGCAUUCAUCUCUCCUUGGGUCAAUACACCAGUGUAUGCGAAGCGACUUGUCGAUGAAUAAUCGAGCAAACCACGAGUAAUGUAUAUAUAUAUAUAUAUGCUAAAGGCUUACGUCAUGUUAUAUAAAGCAUUAAUAAGGAAUAUAUAUGUAAAGCAUUAAAUCAUUAAAUUACUGAUGAUAGAUGUGCACCAAAUUAAUAAGGAAUAUAUAUGUAAAGCAUUAAUAAGGAAUAUAUAUGUAAAGCAUUAAAUCAUUAAAUUACUGAUGAUAGAUGUGCACCAAAUUAAUAAGGAAUAUAUAUGUAAAGCAUUAAAUCAUUUUAUAUAUCAUGUCCGAAGGAUACACAGGUAGUACAUAUGAUAGAUAGGCACCAAAUUAAAAAAUUUAUAUGGUAUCGGCUAUUAUAUCAUUUUAUACACCCCAAAGAUACACACAGUGGGUACAGAUGUAUAGAUGAUAGAUGGGCACCAAAUUAAUACUCUCUUUGUUCAAAAUUAGUAUUUACUUUAGUUCUUGCUUUUUAUUUUUAUGGUUAAAUAAAUAAUUAUGAAUCUCAACACAUAUAUAAAACAUAUACAUCAAAUAUUAUAGAAAUUAUUAAUUAUCUAAAACAAAUCUUAAUUUAGGAUGGAGGAAAAGUACUUCAUUUUAUACAUCCAAAUUCCAAAGGAUGCACAUGAUGGAUGGGCACCAAAUUAAUAAGUUAAUAACUAUAGCCAAGAUGGAAACAAAUAAUGUGCAAUUAUUUUCAGAUUACGUAGAUACAAUUUUUACUGUUGCUACGUAAUUAUGAUCUACUAAGUCGAUUGCUGAAUGAUUUGUGUAUUAGUUAGGAUAGGAGCAAUGAUGCUGAUUGAAAUGUUUUAUUUUUAAUAAGUAUCUUUUGUUUCAAAAAUAGUGUUUUAUUAUUGUAGCCAAGAUGGAUACAAAUAAUGUGCAAUUGUUUUCAGCUUACGUUAGAGUUCCAUGGAAUAUGUUAAUCAAAUGCAGUUUUUACUGUUGUGAAUUGUCUUGAAUCGUAAUUAUGAUCUACUAGUUUGAUUGGUGCAUGAUUUGUGUACCAGUUAGGAUAGGAUUAAUGAUGCUAAUUGAAAUGUUUUAUUUAAACACUUUUGUGUUAAAAUUAGUGUUGUAAGUGUUAUCCACUUUGUCUUAGGGUCCAUCAAAAUUUGUCCUAAAUCAAACUAUGUAAAAUUCGACCAAAUUUAUAAAGAAGCAUAUUAACAUCUAAAGAUGUGAAUUAUCAACAUAUAUUUCAUGAUAUUUUCAUUCAUAAAUUAUAUUCCUAUUUUAUAUAAUAUUGGUUGAACAACAUAGAAUAUUUUCAGCGAUGAGAUUAAAAAAAAUUAAAAUACAUAAAAACUAGAAAAUUAAGUCAUUUGAGUAUAUAUAGAAUUCUUUCUUUUUUGAUAUAUUUUAGAAUUUUACAUUAAAUAUUUUGGAUACUAAAUGAACUUAAAUAAAAACAUUCAAUUACAAAGAUCUAAAUCUUCUCAAAGACUAUAACUUUGGUAUAUGAUGUGUGUUCAUCCAAGAUUGUUAAUUUAAAAAACUGAAUAUCAAAAUAUAUGAUUAUAAAAUAAAUGUUUGAGAAACAAAAAAGUUCAAUUCAACAAUGUAUCAAUAUCAAACAUGUAAAUCGGGUCAACCACUGUAACAUUUUUGUAUAUACAUGCAAAUAUAAAAACACAUAUAAACAUAUGAACAUGCACCACUAGAGUCUAGAGACGACAUCUUUGCCGAGUGCCAAAGCUACUCGACAAACAAUCAAAUGCACUCGGCCAAUCCUUUGUCGAGUGUCGAUAGUGAUACACAUAAAUAGCAUUCUAGAUUUUAAAUUUUUAAAAAUAUAAUCUUAAAAUUUAUAUUUAAACUUUAACUAAAUUCAAAUAAAAUAGUUCAUUGAUAAAGUUGUACAUUGUAUCGAGAACAUCUCAGAUCGUUUGUAUGAACUUAAAAUAAUAUUUUUCUGCCAUAAUUUUUUUGAUAAAAACUUCUCAACUAUAAAGUUGUAGAAUGUGCCGAGAGUUACAAUUUUUAUAUAAAAUUUUUCGUCAUCUUAGUUCAUAUAGAAAAUGUACCAAUUAUUGUUGGAUGAAACUAUAUUUUAGAGACUUGCAUCAUAAUGGGAUUGCAUCUAUCAAGAAUAUGGUUCUCAUGAUGUUUUAAAUUUUGCAUUGCCUUCAUCUUGCCUAGCUCAAGCAAAUGGCACCUCAAAGUCACAAGAACAGCAGAAGAUCUCUGGCAUCUAUACACCAUAUAGAACUCCACCAUGUUCUUCUAGUGCUCAGUCUACAUCGGCUUUAGUCCCUCACAAACAGAAGUAGUGAUAGUUUACUCUAGUGGACUCAGGUUUGCACAGAAGUAUGAGAUUAAAGGAUCAAAACACUGCUUUAAACAUGAUUCUAGCACAAAAAAAUUGCAUCCCCUGCACACCUGAAGCACUCGUUCUUUCUUCGAAGAUUAUUCAAAACUUGGGGCCUAUUUUUGCAAAAUGAAUCUAGUUGAUCUUUAAGACGUAAUUAAAAGUGCAUCUACACCUUUGUGGGUUUUGGUGUUUCAAUGACAACACAAUUAAAGGUCUAAUACAAGUGUUAGGUGUUGAAAAGGAACUUAGUGAAAAGCAUACAAGGUUCAACACAUGAGUACAAUGUGAUAUUCCAUACACAACUGAGUCUAAAAAAGGCUUAUGGAUGUCACAAGAGAAGAAGGAUAUUCAAUAUACACUCAAGUUAGUUUGGCUUAAGGAAAGCUUGACAAGGUGAAGACAACAAGGAAAUAGAGCUUCAAGGAACUAAGCAAAGGAGAAAGUCAAGAGUAUUGUGGUACCAAAGCUAAGGUGAAAAAGUAAGUACUUGCAUUAAGUAGAAGAGCCAGUCAAGCUCAAGAUAGGUCAUGCUAAGGAAGUUGAUCUUUGUUGAAGAAGGUUAUGAAGAUGAGGGGUGGACAUUGAUUAAGUUGGUAAUCAAUGAACAUGACUUCGAGUCAGUUUGGCAUACCAAGGACUAAGGCAAGAAAGAAAUUUGAGGGACUAAGCAAGGGAGAAGGUCAAAAAGAUUGAGGUACCAAAAGCUAAAGUGAAGAAGAGACUUCUUGCAAGGAUCAAAGCUGAUCAAGCUGUGAAGAGUUGUGUGAUAUUGAAGACCGCAACAUAAGAAGACGAGACUUGAAACCAUCGAUACAAGCUCAAGAAAUGGAUAGGGUCACAAGAUCAAGGUGAAAGUACCAAAGUCAUAACCUUGAAGGGCUUUCAAGUGUGCAUACUUAGAUUAAAGAGCCGAACUGAGAAUCCAAGGAAGAAUUAGUUUGUGGGGGAACUUCAGAGUUUAGAAAAGUUAUUGUUGACCUUUGGAACACAAUGGAGCUCAAAGAUGUGGCAGAGUUGAUCUAAUUUAGAGUUUAGGUUCCAAGUGGCAUUUAAAGUAAAAGGUUGAAGAAAAGGAUAAAUUUGAGUUCAUAAAAUAAAGGUAAUUCAUGACUUAGACCAUUUGGAUAAAGUAUAACUAUGUUUAUCUAAAUCAUCGGAAGGUGCUCAAAGUCGGUCAAGUUGAAUGAAAGAAGAUGUGCAAAAAAUGUCAAGUUUUAGCUUUCUAGGGCGCACUAGACCAUGGGUCCAUGUGAACCGGACCUUCUUAACAACAGGAUCUAGAAUUGGUCUUCGAUGGCCUAGUGCACCGGACCACUUUUCUAGAGAAGUCAAAUUGAAUACUUGGUGGCCUAGCGCACCGGACCUCCUAGGUCCAAUGGCUAAUACGAGGCAACGGUUGACUUCAAUGUCUAGCUGACAUGGCGGUUGUGCUGGCACGGUCCGAUGGUGCAACGAACCAGUCCAGAGCUAGCCCAGAUGGAAAGUUUCUGUCAGGAUCCCAUAGAUAGUGGGACUAUUGAGGUCCGGUGGUGCUCCCACUACUACAAAGAUGCUCUAUAGAGAUGGUUUGUAAUCCAUUUUCACUGGCGUUUUUCAGAAACGCUAGUGGUGGGAGCCAGUGGAAAUCGAUCUUUCCACUGGCGGAUAUUUUAGAAAUCAAUCUUAAAGCAAUCAUUAGUGGAAAAAGUAUUUCUACUAACAAUUUUCUAAAAUUAGCUGCCAGUGGUAGUUUUCCUGCCUUUUUUCAAAAUUUCCACCAAAACUAAAUUAUAUAUAUAUACACAAACACACACACACACAUAUAUAUAUAUAUAUAAUAUUGAUAUUGAAAGCAACAUGGAAUUAAAUUCUAUCAUACAUUUAUAUACAACAAAUUUUUUGUUUACAACCAUAAAGUUACACAUAUAUGCAUCACACAUUCUAUACAUGAAAGUUUUCACCUAAGCCCUAAUAACUAUCUCGGCUAAGAUUUAGUCUACUAAUUUCUAUUUGUACUCUAAACUCUAUCCCAGCUAAGGUUAUGUUAGCAUCAUGACAUUUUCCUUCACAUAGAAUGACUUUUCUAUAUGAAUGAGCAUAGGUCCUCAACUAUGUUGUACAAUGUAACUUGGGUCAUAUGGUCCACCUUUUUAGUUGAAAUUCCUGUUAAGGAAGUUUAUAAACAUAAUAUAUUUACACUCAAUAAUACAUUUGCAUCUUUAAUGAUAGAACUAUAUAUGUGACUAUUACUAAUGAUACCUUAUCAGAGUUCUUGAUGCAUCGUUCAUUCUGUUUCAUGAACUCGCAGACAUAUAACCCACAGAGGACCGAUCUAGGCGGUUGCUUAUGGCACUACAUAAUUGGAAAUUGGUUAUUUAGUUGCAACAUUGUCCUAUGUACAUACAUGUAUGAUAUGUAUUCAUAAAUUUACAUAUUUAUCGACCAUUUAUAGUAUAUUUGCAAUGGCUCACCUUUUUUGAUAUAUCGUGCAUUCCACCUUUAAGCUUAUAGAACCUAUAUGCCCUGUGAUCUCAAAUAGAAUCACCAUUUUUUUCUCAAACUCUCAUCGAUAAAAGUCUGCAUGCAUACAAAGGCUUACACUCUAAGAUGGUGAUGAAUUGUGCAUAGUUUGAAGAUUCGUAAUCUAAGGAGUCAAGCACCAGAAGUGGUCACUGUACGAAUCAAAUUUGUGAUGCAUGUGUAUGGAAAUUGUUAAUUAUUUAUACAAACUCACACUUACUUAAAGUUGUAUGGGACCACUAUGACUUCCCUUUUUUGAAAUCGAAGAAUUCCAUGUUCUAGGUAGGUGGCAUAUCAGGCAUGAAUGUCCUUCUUCAAUUCCUCUAUAUGCUUCUUAACUUCAUGCUGUUUUACCUACUUGUCAUGAUGUUGUCUUUGAUUCUCAUGCCAUGUUUGCAUCAUCUAGCUCUUCAUAUGAUCAUGGUAGGAAUAGACCUAGGGGCCAUCAUGUUGCUUCUCAUGUGCCUAGGAAUGCAUCAAAUGGACCAACCAUGCUUUAUCAAACUUAUGGUGCUUCAUUUGUUCUUUUGUGCAAAAUUGCUAAAGUAGUUGCUAGAAAGUUGGGGCCUAAGUGCAAGAGAGAUAAAACUUGCAUCUGGGUUCCAAAGUCUUAUGUGACUAACCCUAUAGGAUCCAACAAGAGUUGGGUACCUAAAACCCAAGCUUAAAUUACCUUGCAGGUUUAUGCAUCCGAUGGCACAAGCUGGAUUAUUGAUAGUGGAUGCACGGACCACAUGACGGGGGAGAAGAGAAUGUUCACCUCCUACAUCAAGAACAAGGAUUCCCAAGACAUAAUCAUAUUUGGAGAUGUGAACCAAGGCAAGGUCAAAGGUCUGGGUAAAAUAGCCAUCACUACCGAGCAUUCAAUUUCUAAUGUGUUCUUAGUAGAAUCACUUGGUUACAAUUUACUUUCUAUAAGUCAAUUAUGUCAUAUGGGCUAUAAUUGUUUAUUUACAAAUAUUGAUGUAUCUGUCUUUAGAAGAAGUGAUGGUUCAUUAGCUUUUAAAGGUGUAUUAGAUGACAAGCUCUAUUUAGUUGAUUUCUCAAAAGAUAAUGCUGAUCUAGAUGCAUGUUUAAUAGCUAAGACUAAUAUGGGCUGGCUCUGACACCGCUGUCUAGCACAUGUUGGGAUGAAGAAUCUUUAUAAGCUUCUAAAGGGAGAACAUGUGUUAGGACUAACCGAUGUCUGUUUUGAGAAAGACAGACCUUGUGCAGUGUUCCAGGCAGGAAAGCAGGUGGGAACUACUCAUCAAACCAAGAACGUGAAGACAACAUCAAGUCCACUGGAACUCCUUCAUAUGGAUCUCUUCGGGCCCAUUGCUUAUCUUAGCAUUGGGGGAAGUAAGUAUGGUUUUGUUAUUGUUGAUGACUUUUCCCGCUUCACUUGGGUAUUUUUUUGCAGGACAAAUCAGAAACCCAAGGUACUUUAAAGCGCUUCCUAAGGAGAGCUCAAAAUGAGUUUGAGCUCAAGGUAAAAAAGAUCAGGAGCGACAAUGGAUCUGAGUUCAAGAAUCUUCAAGUUGAAUACUAUCUUAAGGAGGAAGGCAUCAAGCAUGAGUUCUCCGCUCCCUACACACCACAACAAAAUAGUGUAGUAGAGAGAAGGAAUUGGACGCCCAUCGACAUGGCAAGGACAAUGCUUGUUGAAUAUAAGACACCUGAGCGGUUUUGGUCAGAAGCUAUAAAUACAGCUUGCCACACCAUAAAUCGGCUCUGCCUUCAUCGCCUUCUCAAGAAGAUAUCCAACGAGCUUCUAACCGGUAACAUACCCAAUGUUUCGUACUUUCGUGUAUUUGGGAGCAAAUGCUUCAUCUUGGUUAAGAAAGGUAGACAUUUGAAAUUUGCUCCCAAAGCUGUAGAAGGGUUUUUACUAGGUUAUGAUUCAAAUACAAAGGCAUAUAGGGUCUUCAACAAAUCAUCGGGUUUAGUUGAAGUCACUAGUGACGUUGUAUUUGAUGAGGCUAAUAGAUCUCCAAGAGAGCAAGUUGAUCUUGAUGAUGUAGAUGAGGAUGAAGUUCCAAUGGUCGCAAUGCAAACUAUGGCAAUAGGUGAUGUGCGACCGCAGGAACAACAAGAUCAAGAUCAACCAUCUUCCUCAACAUUGGUGCAUCCCCCAACUCAAGAUGAGGAACAUGUACCUCAACUCCUUAAGAUGCAGGCAUAAAUCAAGGGGGGAGCACAUGAAGAAAAGGAUAAGGAGGAAGAAGCUCAACAAGCACCUCCAACUCAAGUCCGGGCAACUAUUCAAAGAAAACAUCUGGUGGAUCAAAUUCUGGAUGACAUCAGCAAGGGAGUAACUACUCGCUCACGUUUAGCUAACUUUUGUGAGCAUUACUCAUUUGUUUCUUCUAUUGAGCCUUUCAGGGUAGAAGAAGCCUUGCAGGAUCCAGACUGGGUGUUGGCCAUCCAGGAAGAGCUCAAUAACUUCAAGAGAAAUGAAGUAUGGAGCCUGGUGCCACGUCUGAAGCAAAACAUUGUGGGAACCAAGUGGGUGUUCCGCAACAAGCAAGAUGAGCAUGGGGUGGUGACAAGAAUCAAGGCUCGACUCAUGCAUACUAUUGCAUGGAAUGUUGCUUAUUUAUUAUCAUCCUACACUCAUGCUGCUAUGCAUGACACGGUAUCACAUAUUGUCACUCCAAGCAGGAGAAUUCGAGGCCGGAUCCUUUCUCAUGAGAACCUGCUGGGACCUAUGGAGGGCAUCGUGUCGGAGUGCUUCAUGGAUCGGGUGGAUCGGAGUCGCUGGUGAUUGGGACACUCUUGGCAGCACGUGUUCUGAUCAGGCCAGCAUGGCAAACCAGGUAAAGUGAAGCAGCAGUAACAGCUCUUGUAACCGGCGCACUGAGCUUUCAAACACAACUUGAUGUUUAUGUCGC
rnacentral:lncRNA from 1 species